rnacentral:rRNA from 1 species
GACUGGGAUAACACCUGGAAACAGAUGCUAAUACCGGAUAACAACACUAGACGCAUGUCUAGAGUUUGAAAGAUGGUUCAGCUAUCACUCUUGGAUGGACCUGCGGUGCAUUAGCUAGUUGGUAAGGUAACGGCUUACCAAGGCAAUGAUGCAUAGCCGAGUUGAGAGACUGAUCGGCCACAUUGGGACUGAGACACGGCCCAAACUCCUACGGGAGGCAGCAGUAGGGAAUCUUCCACAAUGGACGAAAGUCUGAUGGAGCAACGCCGCGUGAGUGAAGAAGGGUUUCGGCUCGUAAAGCUCUGUUGGUAGUGAAGAAAGAUAGAGGUAGUAACUGGCCUUUAUUUGACGGUAAUUACUUAGAAAGUCACGGCUAACUACGUGCCAGCAGCCGCGGUAAUACGUAGGUGGCAAGCGUUGUCCGGAUUUAUUGGGCGUAAAGCGAGUGCAGGCGGUUCAAUAAGUCUGAUGUGAAAGCCUUCGGCUCAACCGGAGAAUUGCAUCAGAAACUGUUGAACUUGAGUGCAGAAGAGGAGAGUGGAACUCCAUGUGUAGCGGUGGAAUGCGUAGAUAUAUGGAAGAACACCAGUGGCGAAGGCGGCUCUCUGGUCUGCAACUGACGCUGAGGCUCGAAAGCAUGGGUAGCGAACAGGAUUAGAUACCCUGGUAGUCCAUGCCGUAAACGAUGAGUACUAAGUGUUGGGAGGUUUCCGCCUCUCAGUGCUGCAG